rnacentral:rRNA from 1 species
UACAGAGGGCUCAAGCGUUGUUCGGAAUUACUGGGCGUAAAGGGUGCGCAGGCCGCACGGGCAGUCAAAUGUGUAAUUCAGGGGCUCAACCCCUGCACUGCGCUUGAUACUUCCGUGCUCGAACCUUGGAGAGGAGUCUGGAAUUCUCGGUGUAGCAGUGAAAUGCGUGGAUAUCGAGAAGAACACUUGGGGCGAAAGCAAGACUCUGGACAAGUGUUGACGCUCAUGCACGAAGGCUAGGGUAGCGAACGGG